UUCCCUCUCAAACUUUACGUUUGGUAGUGAGCGAUACUCUAUUCUGGAGUUUGCUUGAAAAUGGGAGGCCAUAGGCGAAGCAUUGCUUUCUAAUCCUGCGGCCCUCUGCUUACUUCCCCUUGUGGGUUGUGGCAGGGGAAAGCGGGAGGCGCCUUGCCACGAUAGUCGUAUUAGGUUUUACCGACUCGGCGAAAGUGAAGAGGUUUGCUUUUUUUUUAAAAAAUAGAAGCAGGCAGCGUCUGGCUUGACAAAAUUCUCAAAGUUUGACCUCAAAUCAGGUAGGAUUACCCGCUGAACUUAAG
rnacentral:misc_RNA from 1 species